GAGGGCUUCUUGUUUCUUCUGCAGAGGUGAGUCCUGGUGGAGUUCUGCAGGGCCCUGCUGGCUGAGGGCUGGGGGUGGCGGAGACCUUCUGGGAGCCACCAAGGGAGGCAAAGCCACCGGCAGGAGUGGGGAUGGUUCCAGAAAAUGAGACCAUGGCCCUGGACCAGGGCGCGGAGUGAGGCUGCUUGAGGAGGCUGCUUGCGGUUUUCCGCAAGGUGAGCAUCCUCAGGAGACCAUGGACGUAAGCACACCACUUAAGAGCAGGGGCCUCCGGUGCACGCCCUCGCUCCGCCCCCUGCUGGCUGUGUUAUCUUGUGUCAACCGCUUACCGUCUCCCAACCUCAGUUUUUUCAUCUGCAGAGUGGGAGGAAUAAUGUCGUCCUCCCAGUGUCGUGAGGACUAACGGAGGGGAAGUGUGUGAAGAGUGUCGUCUAGCCGCCAGCCGUGAAUCCUUAGGCUGAGAGGCCUAACAGAUCAUCUAGUCCAGAAACCCGUGUCAUGUCCUGCGUGGUCUCCACCUACUGAUACUGACCACUUGGAAAACUGUGCUGAGAAGGAUUCUGAGGCCACGUCAGGCUCUGUGGGAGAGUACUGCGAUCAGCUUGUAAUGUCUGCCAUGGGCACAGGAGUGGGAGCGGAAGUACGUGUGCCAGGCAGUUGCCAUCUCUGAUCUAGCCUGAACUGCCAUCCCCACCGGGAAUUCCUUCCGUGUCAGCUCCGGCAGAUCACCCCGCCUUGGUCCCAGAACAGCACCCCGAGGAAGGCCCUUUGUGUGUUUAAAGGAAAGAAAAAUGUGCCCCCAGGCCUUCUCUGCACCAGCCUCCAGGUCCCGUUAACUCUCAUCCAUAAGACAAGGUCACAGAGGAGAGCUCAAACUCUAAGACACUUUGGGGGACCACCUGCUCCAUCCCAUCUGUGCUAAAUAGAGGGAAAGAGAGGCCCAAGAGGUCAAGGGCUUGGCACCUUUGGGCUCCCUGACCCCCGUCAGAAGAAGCCUGUCCUCCAGGCUAGAGGAGCUGAGAUCCGAGUCACUGUCACUGUCACUGGAAACCACUGGAAAGAAAAGACACCAGCACCGGAGGUUACCCCUACCAGUCACUACCAGCAGGCAUGUGGGAUAGAGGGGCUGGGGCAGGCCUCCCCUCUGCCGGAACAAAGCGGCUGAUUACCCCCUUGGGUGCAGGACAACUGUUCUGAGGCUGGCACCUGGCAAUGCUCAGGGUGCGAGGCAAUGCCGUUUUACCUUGGAACAAGGCACAUCACAGGUACAAAAUUUCCGGUCCUCGCCAACCCUUAUAAAGCACUCCAGGCACUUGACAUGUGCUAGCUCGCUGAAGCUUCAGAACAACCCUGGCAGACAGGGUUGCGCUCAUUUUACAGUUGUCCUGCCCACACCUGAUUCAAUAGCUUUUUUAAGCAAGUGGCUUCUCUCAAGACUUUCGGAAGUGCUGGUUUUAAUGAAAACAACUCUGUCCUUCCUGGCUCUUUUCAUCAGUUUACGUAACAUUUAAUUAAGUGAUGUCACUCUAAUACCAAGUACGACAGCACAGGACGGUCUGGGAUCACGGGUAAGCAGCUCUCAAAGGGGACUGAUUCGGUGGAUGGGGUGUGCAUCCGUGUGCCUUGCCGGGGAGUGCAAAGUGCCGGGUCCUGAGGGAGGGGAGGAGCUGUUGGGCACUCUGCCCGGCACGGGGCCAGCCGCCCAGACAGCACUACUACCCAUCAGCCCCGUGCCCCAGGGACCCGUGGGGGUGGCAGACGAGAUCGGAAAUCCAAUCAAUCUAUGCCAAGGGUGGCUAAGCUAAGAGGCUUCAAGUGAUGGGCCAGGCCCCUCGUGGAGCAGUGUGCAGAGGAGGAUCCGGAGCCAGCGUCGGAGCUCUGCAGGAAGGAGAGUCUGGUCAGACCCCAAAUGCCCACAGCCACACAAAGGGGGAACAGUUCCAGAUGACAACUGAGCUCACAAAGGUGUCACAGGGCAGAGAACCAGCCAACCGACAAGACUCAUCCCCUUGGCCUGUGCCUCCCUCCCUUGCCCGAGCAUCCCUGCUCAUUGUGUCUGUGACUCUGAGCUGGGGCCAGGCCUCAGCUUAGAGGUCUUUGUAGUGCAAACCCAAUCCCAUUCUAAUCCACUGUAAUAAGCUCUACUUGAAAGAAAGAAGCCGGCAGUGUCCAUGCCUGGCCUUGGCAUUUACUGUCAGUGGGGAAGAAACACACCAAGAAGACCCUGCUGAGAAUGUCCCUGGGCAGGACCCAGGGCAAACACCAUUUUCUCCGGCAGCAAUGGAAGAAGUUUUUCUUCUUCCUCCCCCUCCGACUGUCACCAUAAAACCCACAUCUUGGCUAAUUUGCCAUUCGAUUGCCAAUUGCCACCUUUCUUGUCGCCCAGCAGCUGUGAUCGUGAAUCUUCCAGGUCUAUUAAAGAAGCUUUGAGGCUCAUCAAUCUUUUGGCCCUUGCUCUUCCAUCCUCAACAAAACACUGUGUGUAUCUGAAGGCUGAUUUCUCCCUUCUAAUUCCCCCCAAGACAGUCUAGGAUGGCUUAGUGAUGAGUGCUUGUAUUCAGCCCACGCCUGAUUUUGCAGAUCGAAGAUGGGAAAACACUGGGGAGAAGACUGUCCCACUCAUCUUCCCAAGGAGGAGGAGUCACCAAAUGGACUCACCUGGGCUCUGCCAGGAGGGAGGAGGGGGCGCCUCCCCCACCCCAGCGGCCUGAGACCCGGGACCCCUUGCUUGGGGAGCUGGCAUCCCUGAGACUUUCCCAUCAUGCCCCAGAAGGGCUGCCCCACUCUGCUCAGCUCUCCUCCUCAGCAGCGGCUAGCCCCAGCGCCAGCCAUGCCCACUUCUCUGGGGAGAGGCCAGCUUUUCUUUUUUUUUUUCCCUGGCUCACUCUUAGAUGGGUUUGCAAUUUGACUGUCACCAUGGAAACUCAAGAGUUUUGGUACAUGAAGGUGGGGGGAAGUCUUCCCUUUUGGAAAGUCUCUCCUGACUGCCUCAAAGGACACAUGUAGCAGCUGCCGUCCUGUGAAGACACCUUGCCUGGGAUGGUCCAGGUGACAGGCAGGAUGCUGGCCACUUGACCUCACAGCACUGCAUUGGGAUUCGGGGGGACCUAGCUCCCGGCUCUUCUCUGCCACCACCUGUCUUUGUGACCCUGGGCAUCUCUCAGGGCUUUAUCACACACAGAGAGACCAAUCUGGACAGCUACUCGGCCUGAACCCUAGGAUUCAACCUCAGGUUGGCUCUGUUUCAUCAGCGGAGAGUGCCCGGGGUCCCUCUCUGGCUGAGAGGUGGGGAGAUGUGACUUCUGGGCCACAACAUCUGCCUGCUGGCGCAAGGACAGCCCGUGAGCCUGGGAGGCUUCCAAAGCCCCCAGAAACGAUGGGAAUUAGAGAGGAAGAGAGAUAUUUUCAGCAAACAUUCUGCCAAGGCAAGGCAGAUGGUGGAAAAUUUUGCAUACUAAAACCAAAAUAAAUUUUUUUUUAAUGUAAAGGGAAGAUGAUAAAGCCCCAGGGAAUGCAUAGACAUCCCCAAUUAGCCUUACCCUGCCUACCAGGCUGCAGAGGGCAGUGGCAGAAUUGUCCCCACUGGGACAGGUGAGGGCUGUCUCACCUGCAGAGAGGGCCAGGCCUGCAGCCUGAAAUCCCACUGAGACGCCUCCCAAGUCUGAGGCUCUGUUUGAUGGUUGCAGGGGGGAGGUAUGGGGUGGUGAAGGGGCACUGGCUCUGCUGGAUCCUUUUCUGGGUUGUUGUGAGCAUCCUCGAGGAAACUCAGGUGGUGUCUGGCACAUGGGAGGAGCUUUUUGCUUGAGGGGCUCCUCCUGAACUCAUGGCCCACACCACGAGGUGCAGGGCUGGCUUCUGGGGUCACAGCAUUUGAUGCCAGGGCCAACCUCACAGGGGCGGGCUUGCCUUCUCUGGGGGGCGUGGAUUCCUAGGUUGUGCUGGAGGCACGAGAUGGCUUCAGGGGCCAUUUGCAGCCUGAGCUGGGAUUUGAGCUGAGGUCUAGCUCCUGCUGAGACCUCUGCUCUUUCCUCCCCUCCCAGCAGGCAGGGCACCCGGCAGUCUGGCCUCGUCCUCCCCUCUGAGCUCUGCUCCCUCGGAGUCUUCCCCUCCAGGCGGGCCAGUUCCUCCUCAGUAUCCCCAACACACCCUUUCUGGGUUUUUCUCCAGGCCUUUCCCGCCAGAGGCAGGUGCUGCAACGUGAGAGACUUCUAGCUCCCUCCCCACAUCCGGGGUCUGGCCCUGGCUCUGCCUUGGACACUCCUGGGCAGAGACCUUCAUCUCCCCGAGCCUCAAUCUGCUCAUAUGUGAAACACAAACAGGAGCAACCCCAAGGCAAUAAGAUCAAGUAGUACAAAAGGCACUGCAAGUUCAAAAUGCUAUGCAGAGGGGCGCCUGGGUGGCUCAGUCGUUAAGCGUCUACCUUCAGCUCAGGUCAUGAUCCCAGGGUCCUGGGAUGGAGCCCCGCAUUGGGCUGCCUGCUCCGCGGGAAGCCUGCUUCUCCCUCUCCCACUCCCCCUGCUUGUGUUCCCUCUCUCGCUGUGUCUCUGU